rnacentral:rRNA from 1 species
AUGCAGGAAGCUCCCCUCACUCCGGCCCACCCCGUCGCCUUCGGGUUCUGGCCCAGACCGGUGUGCUUCCCCACCGCCGACGGGCUCUUCUUCUACGGCGGCUGCACCCCCUUCGUCCCGUGCGCCAGCCCGUCGCCGAUCGGCACCUCCUUCGUCCCGUGCGCCAGCCCGUCGCCGCUCGGCACCCCCUUCGUCCCGUGCUCCAGCCCGUCGCCGCUCGGCAGCCCCUUCACGCCGAGCCCCAGGCUUCCGCCGCGCGCCGCCCCCUUCACCCAGAACCCCAGGCCGUCGCCGCGCGCCACCCCGUUCACCCCGUUCACCCCGUUCACCCCGAGCCCCAGCACCUCGUCGCGCGGCACCCCCUUCACCCCGAGCCCCAGGGCGCACCCGUGCGGCACCCCCUGGUCCUCCUCCUCCUCCGGCUCCCGCGUGGACGAUGCGGCGGCCACGGAGCACCGCCUGCAUCUGGCCCGCCUCGCGCUCCAGUGCCAGGACGCCACCAACCGCUACGAGCUCUGCCUCAGCCACCUCGCCGACGCCGCGCGCGAGGCCGCCGCGCUCCGCCUCGAGAACUCCGAGCUCCGCGUCAUCAACAACGACCUUGCCGGCCGCUUCGCCAUGCUCGGCGGCAACCAGGCCUCCGCCGUCGCGCUGGCCGGGCAGCUCCGCGGCCUCCACCUCGGGCAGAUGCAGGUGCCGGUGCCGGUGCAGGCCGUGGCGUCUCCACCGGUGCUGCCCAUGCCCAUGGCGGGCCCCGCCUCCCCGGCCGAGAAGCACGCGGUGAUGCCCAAGAGCAUCUCCAUCCGCUCGACGGGCUACCUGAAGAUGGCCAGGCGCGGCGGCAAGGGAAAGCAUGGCGUCACGAAGCCGAUGGACGUCGGCUCGCAGCGCGUGUUCGUGGGCGUGGACGUCGACGGCGCCAAGGCGGAGGAGCACCAGGGCGCCAGCGACGGCGGGGACAGGCGCGGCCAGGUGGUCAAGUCCGCCAGCGGGCUGGAGUUCGAGGCGUACAGCCAGGGCAUGUACAAGACGGAGCUGUGCAACAAGUGGGAGGAGAGCGGGGCGUGCCUGUACGGCGACCAGUGCCAGUUCGCGCACGGCAUCGCCGAGCUCCGCCCCAUCAUCCGCCACCCGCGCUACAAGACCCAGGUCUGCCGCAUGGUCAUCGGCGGCGGCCUCUGCCCCUACAGCUACCGCUGCCACUUCCGCCACUCCAUCACCCGUGCCGACUACAUCCCCCUCCUCCACCCCUGA